rnacentral:rRNA from 1 species
UUGCCUACGGGGGGCAGCAGUGGGGAAUAUUGCACAAUGGGCGCAAGCCUGAUGCAGCGACGCCGCGUGAGGGAUGACGGCCUUCGGGUUGUAAACCUCUUUCGCCAGGGACGAAGCGUAAGUGACGGUACCUGGAGAAGAAGCACCGGCCAACUACGUGCCAGCAGCCGCGGUAAUACGUAGGGUGCAAGCGUUGUCCGGAAUUACUGGGCGUAAAGAGCUCGUAGGCGGUUUGUCGCGUCGUCUGUGAAAUUCUGCAGGUUAACUGUAGGCGUGCAGGCGAUACGGGCAGACUUGAGUACUACAGGGGAGACUGGAAUUCCUGGUGUAGCGGUGAAAUGCGCAGAUAUCAGGAGGAACACCGGUGGCGAAGGCGGGUCUCUGGGUAGUUACUGACGCUGAGGAGCGAAAGCGUGGGGAGCGAACAGGAUUAGAUACCCCAGUAGUC